rnacentral:rRNA from 1 species
AAUGGGCGAAAGCCUGAUGCAGCAACGCCGCGUGAGCGAUGAAGGCCUUCGGGUCGUAAAGCUCUGUCCUCAAGGAAGAAUUUUGACGGUACUUGAGGAGGAAGCCCCGGCUAACUACGUGCCAGCAGCCGCGGUAAUACGUAGGGGGCUAGCGUUAUCCGGAAUUACUGGGCGUAAAGGGUGCGUAGGUGGUCUGACAAGUCAGAGGUGAAAGGCUACGGCUCAACCGUAGUAAGCCUUUGAAACUGUCGGACUUGAGUGCAGGAGAGGAAAGUGGAAUUCCCAGUGUAGCGGUGAAAUGCGUAGAUAUUGGGAGGAACAUCAGUGGCGAAGGCGACUUUCUGGACUGUAACUGACACUGAGGCACGAAAGCGUGGGGAGCAAA